AUUGAACGCUGGCGGCAGGCUUAACACAUGCAAGUCGAGCGGAGACUUCGGUCUUAGCGGCGAACGGGUGAGGAAUGCCUGGGAAUCUGCCUGUUAGUGGGGGAUAACGUUCCGAAAGGAACGCUAAUACCGCAUACGUCCUACGGGAGAAAGCAGGGGACCUUCGGGCCUUGCGCUAACAGAUGAGCCCAGGUCGGAUUAGCUAGUUGGUGAGGUAACGGCUUACCAAGGCGACGAUCUGUAGCGGGUCUGAGAGGAUGAUCCGCCACACUGGAACUGAGACACGGUCCAGACUCCUACGGGAGGCAGCAGUGGGGAAUUUUGGACAAUGGGCGCAAGCCUGAUCCAGCCAUGCCGCGUGAGUGAAGAAGGCCU
rnacentral:rRNA from 1 species